rnacentral:rRNA from 1 species
CAGCCGCCGCGGUAAAACGGAGGGGGCUAGCGUUGUUCGGAAUUACUGGGCGUAAAGCGCACGUAGGCGGCCUUGUAAGUUAGAGGUGAAAGCCCGGAGCUCAACUCCGGAAUUGCCUUUAAGACUGCAGAGCUAGCAGGUGAGAGAGGUGAGUGGAAUUCCGAGUGUAGAGGUGAAAUUCGUAGAUAUUCGGAAGAACACCAGUGGCGAAGGCGGCUUACUGGCUCAUACUGGACGCUGAGGUGCGAAAGCGUGGGGAGCAAACAGGAUUAGAUACCCCAGUAGUCCCUGUCUCUUAUAC